rnacentral:rRNA from 1 species
AUUGAACGCUGGCGGCAGGCUUAACACAUGCAAGUCGAGCGAGCGGCGGACGGGUGAGUAAUGUCUGGGAAACUGCCUGAUGGAGGGGGAUAACUACUGGAAACGGUAGCUAAUACCGCAUACCAUCAGAUGUGCCCAGAUGGGAUUAGCUAGUAGGUGGGGUAAUGGCUCACCUAGGCUGCGAUCCCUAGCUGGUCUGAGAGGAUGACCAGACACACUGGAACGGAGACACGGUCCAGACGCCUAAGGGAGGCAGAAGUGGGGAAUAUUGCACAAUGGGAGCAAGCCUGAUGCAGCAAUGCCGCGUGGGUGAAGAAGGCCUGCGGGUUGUAAAGAACUUUCAGCGAGGAGGCGUUACUCGCAGAAGAAGCACCGGCUAACUCCGUGCCAGCAGCCGCGGUAAUAC